UACGGAGGAUGCAAGCGUUAUCCGGAUUUAUUGGGCGUAAAGCGUCCGUAGGUGGUUAUUCAAGUCUGCUGUCAAAGCGCGAGGCUUAACUUCGUAAAGGCAGUGGAAACUGAAUGACUUGAGAAUGAUAGGGGCAGAGGGAAUUCCCAGUGUAGCGGUGAAAUGCGUAGAGAUUGGGAAGAACACCGGUGGCGAAAGCGCUCUGCUGGGUCAUAUCUGACACUGAGGGACGAAAGCUAGGGGAGCGAAAGGG
rnacentral:rRNA from 1 species